GACGGUGCAGUAUUCUAGUUAAACUCUCCCUUGUUGAAGACGGGGCUAAAAAUCCGUUUAAGGGCACAUCGAUGAAGCUUCUUGUAGCUGCUUUUUACGCCCAGUUUAGGGUGGCUGCUGGAAGAAUGGACUGAGGGCAGUCCGUAAUGGCAUACGGAGCCUGACCCUCUUUCUUUUGAGGCUUCCUUUUGUGGUACGUUAUCAAAAAUAUAACGGCUACGGCUGGAAGAUUAAACCUAUUGUGCGGUACAAUGAGUUGCUGUAAAUAGCGUAGCCUGCUUUGAGUGAUUGCGGUGGAUACCGGAUUUGAAGCUUACAAUUCCCCGGCCCGGAAAUAAGCCUAUUGCCGAUUGAAACCCCCGUUGCAAAAGAAGCUAGACAAGAGUGAGAUUUUAUCGAGGAAAACUCCUAGACUGUUCUUUAUAAGAGAUGCAAAAAGGAUUGCAGUGCGAACUCAACGGCAAUCAAGUCGCGGAACCGGUAACGCUCCGCCCUUUUCUUUAAAUGGAAACUGCCCGAUGGUAACAGACGGUAGGAAAGGGAGAAAAUCAACUUGACCUCAUGUCGCAAAGUUUACUAUUUGCAUUACCGUCACUUUUAAA
rnacentral:sRNA from 1 species